UACGGAGGAUGCAAGCGUUAUCCGGAUUUAUUGGGUUUAAAGGGUGCGCAGGCGGGGUAGUAAGUCAGCGGUGAAAGCCUACGGCUUAACUGUAGAAUUGCCUUUGAUACUACUACUCUUGAGUACAUUUGAAGUGGGCGGAAUGUGUCAUGUAGCGGUGAAAUGCUUAGAUAUGACACAGAACACCGAUUGCGAAGGCAGCUCACUAAGUUGUAACUGACGCUCAUGCACGAAAGCGUGGGGAGCAAACAGG
rnacentral:rRNA from 1 species